AUACGGAGGAUCCAAGCGUUAUCCGGAUUUAUUGGGUUUAAAGGGUGCGUAGGCGGACUGGUAAGUCAGUUGUGAAAGUUUGCGGCUCAACCGUAAAAUUGCAGUUGAAACUGGCAGUCUUGAGUACAGUAGAGGUGGGCGGAAUUCGUGGUGUAGCGGUGAAAUGCUUAGAUAUCACGAAGAACUCCGAUUGCGAAGGCAGCUCACUAGACUGUUACUGACACUGAUGCUCGAAAGUGUGGGUAUCAAACAGGAUUAGAUACCCUGGUAGUCCGCACAGUAAACGAUGAAUACUCGCUGUUUGCGAUACACGGUAAGCGGCCAAGCGAAAGCGUUAAGUAUUCCACCUGGGGAGUACGCCGGCAACGGUGAAACUCAAAGGAAUUGGCGGGG
rnacentral:rRNA from 1 species